CCCUGUAGAGGGGGAUAGCCUGGAGAAAUUCAGAUUAAUACCCCAUAUUAUCAUUGUAUCACAUGUUAUGAUGAUGAAAGCCUUGGCGCUACAGGAUGGUCAUGCGUGACAUUAGCUAGUUGGUGAGGUAACUGCUCACCAAGGCAACGAUGUCUAGCUGGUCUGAGAGGAUGAUCAGCCACACUGGGACUGAGACACGGCCCAG
rnacentral:rRNA from 1 species